rnacentral:tRNA from 1 species
GCCCAGUUAGCUUAGUUGGUAGUGCGUCUGCCUUGUAAGCGCUAGGCCGCGGGUUCGAUUCCCGCCCGGCGCA